ACGAACGCUGGCGGCGUGCUUAACACAUGCAAGUCGAACGGAAAGGCCCUUCGGGGUCCUCGAGUGGCGAACGGGUGAGUAACACGUGGGUGAUCUGCCCUGCACUUUGGGAUAAGCCUGGGAAACUGGGUCUAAUACCGAAUAGGACCACGCGCUUCAUGGUGUGUGGUGGAAAGCUUUUGCGGUGUGGGAUGGGCCCGCGGCCUAUCAGCUUGUUGGUGGGGUAAUGGCCUACCAAGGCGACGACGGGUAGCCGGCCUGAGAGGGUGACCGGCCACACUGGGACUGAGAUACGGCCCAGACUCCUACGGGAGGCAGCAGUGGGGAAUAUUGCACAAUGGGCGCAAGCCUGAUGCAGCGACGCCGCGUGAGGGAUGACGGCCUUCGGGUUGUAAACCUCUUUCACCAGGGACGAAGCGUAAGUGACGGUACCUGGAGAAGAAGCACCGGCCAACUACGUG
rnacentral:rRNA from 1 species